AACGCACAUUGCGCCCCCCAGUAUUCUGGCGGGCAUGCCUGUUCGAGCGUCAUUUCGACCAUCAAGCCCUGCUUGCGUUGGGGUCCUGCGGCCGCCCGCAGGCCCUGAAAACCAGUGGCGGGCUCGCUAGUCACACCGAGCGCAGUAGCACAUCUCGCUCAGGGCGUGCGGCGGGUUCCAGCCGUGAAAAGACCCCCUUUUGACGUUGACCUCGGAUCAGGUAGGAAUACCCGCUGAACUUAA
rnacentral:misc_RNA from 1 species